AAUCUUGCGCAAUGGGCGAAAGCCUGACGCAGCCAUGCCGCGUGAAUGAUGUAGGUCUUAGGAUUGUAAAAUUCUGUCACCGGGGACGAUAAUGACGGGACCCGGAGACGAAGCCCCGGCUCACUUCGUGCCGGCAGCCGCGGUAAUACGAAGGGGGCUAGCGAUGCACGGAAUUACUGGGCGGAAAGGGCGCGUAGGCGGACAUUUAAGUCAGGGGUGAAAUCCCAGAGCUCAACUCUGGAACUGCCUUUGAUACUGGGUGUCUUGAGUGUGAGAGAGGUAUGUGGAACUCCGAGUGUAGAGGUGAAAUUCGUAGAUAUUCGGAAGAACACCAGUGGCGAAGGCGACAUACUGGCUCAUUACUGACGCUGAGGCGCGAAAGCGUGGGGAGCAAACA
rnacentral:rRNA from 1 species